UACGUAGGGUGCGAGCGUUGUCCGGAAUUAUUGGGCGUAAAGGGCUCGUAGGCGGUUUGUCGCGUCGGGAGUGAAAACCCAGGGCUCAACCCUGGGCCUGCUUCCGAUACGGGCAGACUAGAGGUAUGCAGGGGAGAAUGGAAUUCCUGGUGUAGCGGUGAAAUGCGCAGAUAUCAGGAGGAACACCGGUGGCGAAGGCGGUUCUCUGGGCAUUACCUGACGCUGAGGAGCGAAAGUGUGGGGAGCGAACAGG
rnacentral:rRNA from 1 species